ensembl:lncRNA
GAACAAAUGAAAAACGGAUCCCAGAAAUAAAUAGAAGGGAGUACUUAAAACCCUGGGAGAGUCACUCUACCAACCUAAAGACCCAGCUGUGGUCACGUGGAAAACCAACCCAACAAUUAACAACUACUUGCCUUUUCUGCCACCUUAUAUCUGAAAUAAACCCUUUGAACAGUAGGGUCAGAAUGAAUGAAGAAGAGAGGAGAAAUGAACAAGCUCAGACCAACACUGGGUACCUGAUGUGUUCCUGCAAUCAAGCAACAGAUGGGUCAUGCCCCAGCUCCAAACAGCAGACUGGGAGACUUCAAACUGUCAGGAAGAUGGGGCUUUCUGGUGCCUAGAAAGUGAUCAAACAGCCCUGCCAUCAAAUGCCC